GACGUAGGGCGCGAGCGUUGUCCGGAUUUAUUGGGCGUAAAGAGCUCGUAGGCGGCUUGUCGCGUCGACUGUGAAAUCCCGCGGCUCAACUGCGGGUCUGCAGUCGAUACGGGCAGGCGUAGAGUUCGGUAGGGGAGACUGGAAUUCCUGGUGUAGCGGUGAAAUGCGCAGAUAUCAGGAGGAACACCGGUGGCGAAGGCGGACUC
rnacentral:rRNA from 1 species